UACGAGUGGUGCAAGCGUUGUUCGGAAUCACUGGGCAUAAAGAGCACGUAGGUGGCUUUGCAAGUCAUGGGUGAAAUCCCCCGGCUCAACCGGGGAACUGCCUGUGAGACUGCAGGGCUAGAGGGUGGCAGGGGGAGACGGAAUUCCAGGUGGAGCGGUGAAAUGCGUAGAUAUCUGGAGGAACGCCGGAGGCGAAAGCGGUCUCCUGGGCCACAACUGACGCUGAGGUGCGAAAGCUAGGGGAGCAAACAGG
rnacentral:rRNA from 1 species